UACGUAGGGUGCAAGCGUUAAUCGGAAUUACUGGGCGUAAAGCGUGCGCAGGCGGUUUUGUAAGUCUGUCGUGAAAGCCCCGGGCUCAACCUGGGAAUUGCGAUGGAGACUGCAAGGCUUGAAUCUGGCAGAGGGGGGUAGAAUUCCACGUGUAGCAGUGAAAUGCGUAGAGAUGUGGAGCAACACCGAUGGCGAAGGCAGCCCCCUGGGUCAAGAUUGACGCUCAUGCACGAAAGCGUGGGGAGCAAACAGG
rnacentral:rRNA from 1 species